UGGGGAAUAUUGGACAAUGGGCGAAAGCCUGAUCCAGCCAUGCCGCGUGUGUGAAGAAGGUCUUCGGAUUGUAAAGCACUUUAAGUUGGGAGGAAGGGCAUUAACCAAUACGUUAGUGUUUUGACGUUACCGACAGAAUAAGCACCGGCUAACUCUGUGCCAGCAGCCGCGGUAAUACAGAGGGUGCAAGCGUUAAUCGGAAUUACUGGGCGUAAAGCGCGCGUAGGUGGUUUGUUAAGUUGGAUGUGAAAGCCCCGGGCUCAACCUGGGAACUGCAUCCAAAACUGGCAAGCUAGAGUACGGUAGAGGGUGGUGGAAUUUCCUGUGUAGCGGUGAAAUGCGUAGAUAUAGGAAGGAACACCAGUGGCGAAGGCGACCACCUGGACUGAUACUGACACUGAGGUGCGAAAGCGUGGGGAGCAAACA
rnacentral:rRNA from 1 species